GGGAGUUGGGCUCCAACAGAAAGAGGCUACCGAAGUACAACAGCUCUUUGGUGACCUUUGCGGAUGUGGCGGUAUAUUUCACCGAGGAGGAAUGGAAACUGUUGACAAAAAAGCAGAAACUUAUGUACAGUUAUAUGAUGAUGGAAAAUUAUGACAAUCUGGCCUCUGUGGAAGAACAUUUGAGUCAUGAGAAAGUCCACACAGGAAAGAAGUCACAUAAAUGCCAG